UAAGACGAACCGAGCGAACGUUGUUCGGAAUCACUGGGCUUAAAGGGCGCGUAGGCGGGCUGUCAAGUCUGGGGUGAAAUCCCGCGGCUCAACCGUGGAACUGCCCUAGAUACUGACGGCCUCGAGGGAGGUAGGGGCGAGCGGAACUCUCAGUGGAGCGGUGAAAUGCGUUGAUAUUGGGAGGAACUCCGGUGGCGAAAGCGGCUCGCUGGACCUUUUCUGACGCUGAUGCGCGUAAGCUAGGGGAGCAAACGG
rnacentral:rRNA from 1 species